rnacentral:rRNA from 1 species
GAUCCAGACUCCUACGGGAGGCAGCAGUGAGGAAUAUUGGUCAAUGGCCGAGAGGCUGAACCAGCCAAGUCGCGUGAGGGACGACGGUCCUAUGGAUUGUAAACCUCUUUUGUCGGGGAACAAAGGCGUCCACGGGUGGGCGGAUGAGUGUACCCGAAGAAAAAGCAUCGGCUAACUCCGUGCCAGCAGCCGCGGUAAUACGGAGGAUGCGAGCGUUAUCCGGAUUUAUUGGGUUUAAAGGGUGCGUAGGCGGGACGGUAAGUCAGCGGUAAAAAUGCGGAGCUCAACUCCGUCGAGCCGUUGAAACUGCCGUUCUUGAGUGAGCGAGAAGUAUGCGGAAUGCGUGGUGUAGCGGUGAAAUGCUUAGAUAUCGCGCAGAACCCCGAUUGCGAAGGCAGCGUACCGGCUCCACACUGACGCUGAGGCACGAAAGCGUGGGUAUCGAACAGGAUUAGAUACCCCCGUAA